rnacentral:rRNA from 1 species
GAGGAAGGUGGGUAUGUUAAUAGCAUACUCAUUUGACGUUAGCUGCAGAAGAAGCACCGGCUAACUCCGUGCCAGCAGCCGCGGUAAUACGGAGGGUGCGAGCGUUAAUCGGAAUUACUGGGCGUAAAGCGCAUGCAGGUGGUUUGUUAAGUCAGAUGUGAAAGCCCGGGGCUCAACCUCGGAAUUGCAUUUGAAACUGGCAAACUAGAGUACUGUAGAGGGGGUAGAAUUUCAGGUGUAGCGGUGAAAUGCGUAGAGAUCUGAAGGAAUACCGGUGGCGAAGGCGGCCCCCCUGGACAGAUACUGACACUCAGAUGCGAAAGCGUGGGGAGCAAACAGGAUUAGAUACCCUGGUAG